rnacentral:rRNA from 1 species
ACGCUGGCGGCAGGCCUAACACAUGCAAGUCGAGCGGUAGAGAGAAGCUUGCUUCUCUUGAGAGCGGCGGACGGGUGAGUAAUGCCUAGGAAUCUGCCUGGUAGUGGGGGAUAACGUUCGGAAACGGACGCUAAUACCGCAUACGUCCUACGGGAGAAAGCAGGGGACCUUCGGGCCUUGCGCUAUCAGAUGAGCCUAGGUCGGAUUAGCUAGUUGGUGAGGUAAUGGCUCACCAAGGCGACGAUCCGUAACUGGUCUGAGAGGAUGAUCAGUCACACUGGAACUGAGACACGGUCCAGACUCCUACGGGAGGCAGCAGUGGGGAAUAUUGGACAAUGGGCGAAAGCCUGAUCCAGCCAUGCCGCGUGUGUGAAGAAGGUCUUCGGAUUGUAAAGCACUUUAAGUUGGGAGGAAGGGCAUUAGCCUAAUACGUUAGUGUUUUGACGUUACCGACAGAAUAAGCACCGGCUAACUCUGUGCCAGCAGCCGCGGUAAUACAGAGGGUGCAAGCGUUAAUCGGAAUUACUGGGCGUAAAGCGCGCGUAGGUGGUUUGUUAAGUUGGAUGUGAAAUCCCCGGGCUCAACCUGGGAACUCCAUUCAAAACUGACUGACUAGAGUAUGGUAGAGGGUGGUGGAAUUUCCUGUGUAGCGGUGAAAUGCGUAGAUAUAGGGAGGAACACCAGUGGCGAAGGCGACCACCUGGACUAAUACUGACACUGAGGUGCGAAAGCGUGGGGAGCAAAC